CCUACGGGAGGCAGCAGUGGGGAAUAUUGCACAAUGGGGGAAACCCUGAUGCAGCGACGCCGCGUGAGUGAAGAAGGAUUUCGGUAUGUAAAGCUCUAUCAGCAGGGAAGAAAAUGACGGUACCUGAGGAAGAAGCCCCGGCGAACUACGUGCCAGCAGCCGCGGUAAGACGUAGGGGGCAAGCGUUAUCCGGAUUUACUGGGUGUCCGGGAGCGUAGACGGGAGCACCAGGCGGGAGGGAAAUGCCGGGGCUUAACCCCGGAACUGCGUUGGAAACUGUGCAGCUAGAGUGCAGGAGAGGUAAGUGGCAUUCCUCGUGUCGCGGUUACAUGCGUCGAUCUUAGGAGGCACCCCAGUGGCGACGGCGGCUUACUGGACUGUAACUGACGUUGAGGCUCGAACGCGUGGGGAGCACACAGGAUUAGAUACCCGGGUAGUC
rnacentral:rRNA from 1 species